ensembl:lncRNA
CUCUGUGGGUUGGUGCUCAUCUCCAUUUCUAAGCCGAAGAGCCGGCGUUGUCCAUAGACAUCUCCAGGUCAUGUGGCCGGCAUGACUGCAUGGAGCGCCGUUACCUUUAACACCAGGGGGCCCUAUAUGUAUACAAUAUAUUAUUAGCAUAGCACAAUAUAAGCAUUAGAUAUUACUAUAUUGCACUUUACCACUCUAUUGCAUAAUAUUACAUGUAUCAUUAUUGUAUUAUAUAUAUAUAUAUAGUGUGUGUGUGUGUGUAUAUAUAUAUAUAUAUAUAAGUAUCAGGCAUGGACAUACUUUUUGACACACAGCACCCUCAACAAACGACCAUCCAACCUUUGUAAUAAUAAUAAUAAUAAUAAUAAUAAUAAUAAUAAUAAUAAUAAUAAUUAAUAAUAGCAACACCAGAGGCCACCCAGUCCAACCCCCUUCUGCCAUGCAGGAAAAGCACAAUCAAGGCACCCCCUGAAUGGUGGGAGGGAAAUAGGGUUUUGGAAGCAAGGAAGGAUCAGGGAGGCAGGGGUAAAACAUUUUGGAGGUGAGGAAAAGGGCUUUUGGAGGUGAGGAAAAAUAAUUUAGGCAGCAAAGAAGCUGAAUGAAAAAGGCUCUUUGCUGCAAGAGUAUUAGGGAGGGGGAGAAUCAGGAAAGAGGAGGGAAAGCUUGGAGAGGGAGAGGGAGGGGAGGAGGAAGAGGGAGCCGGGGAGUCCCUCAGUAUGCUUCAAGGAGCCCCAAGAAGGACCAAGCCCAGGACAAACAACAAAAUUCACCAACUAACAAUGCAGUUGAAAACAUAACAACAUAUAGCAAUUCAACUAUGGCACAAUUAAAAACAAACUAUAAAAACAGCAUUAAAAUUAUAUCAAACCAAACUCAACCAGUAGUAACCAGGAAUAAGAUGGGCAUGAAUGGAACUGUGGGUAUUUAAUUCAUGGAUGAGAGGGUUGUAUUAGUUUCAGUCUGGCAGGGCUUCAGCUGGAGUUGCUGCAGAAUGUGUAAUUGGGUAAUAAGGAUUUAGCACUCUCGUGGUUAUGAAGCACACCAAGAACAAGCAAGUGGACAGAUACCUCGAGGUUUUGCUGCAACAACUUGUCUCCAGGCUGAAAUGGUAGGAGAAAGGAGGUCAUGUUCCACCAUUAAUUAAUGUUAGUCCCCAGCAGUUAAAAGAUCAUAAAUCUGUUUUAUAAUCUUUGUGACUACUGGACAGGAUGCCAACCAAUAUUGCUGCAUGGUCAAGUUUAAAAAUGCUGCAAUGCUUCAAAUUUGGGAACAGAAUAAAAAUCUCACUAGGACAGGGCAGAAUUCUUACUGGAAAACAAUGUUGCUAUUUUGAUUACUCUGUAACUACAACAUUGGUAAGGCCCCUUUCUGAUUAAGGCCAAAUGGGUGUCCUUAGGGAUCAUGGUCAGCUAAGAACAUCUGGACUGAAAGAUCACAUGCGAUAUUGCUAUGCGAUAUUGUAAGACUGUACUUUGCUUCCUGCCUUGCAUAACUGUCAGUGUAAUUAAAACCCAAUUGUAGUGCUCUAACAAUAAAUUGCUUGCAUAAUCCAAAGUGCUUGUGUAAUCUUGUUUAAUUUCUGCUGUUAACCUUUCCCUUUGAUACCAAAUGAGGCUGCUCAUUACCUUUGCUUUUAAGUGCUCAUUGCCACACAUAACAUAGUUUAAACUGGGGGAAAGUGCUAUGAAAAAUGUGAUAGUUAUACCUAUUUCCUGUAGAGGAAAUGUGAGCUCUGCAACUGCAUCUUAAUAAUCUGGAUUUUUCUUUCCUUUCUUGGAAUUUUGCAAUAAGAAGAAAUGUAAACAAGUAUGAUGACCAGUAAAUUAUUUACAAACAAAUCAAAACACAGUUUUAGUGGAAAUAUCAGAAAUCUGUUAUUUCCCCUUUCUUCAGGGUAAAAGUGCUUAAGAAUCCAUUUCCAGGAACCAUAGGCUCAUCAUGGCCUCUAGAGGACAUCUUAGGUCCAGACUAUCUGAAAGACUACAUCUCUCUGUAUGAAACUCCCAGAAAGUUAAAACCCACAGAGGAGAGUUUCUCUUGCUCCCAGCAGGUAGUGAAGAAAAAAGAAAACCUUUCUCUGCGGUUGCUCCCACAGUCUGGAAUUCCCUUCCACAGGAGGCUACAGUAACCUUCUCCAUGCUCUCCUUUCAUCAUACCAUUUUGUUUUAGAGCACUUUUCAUGUGUAAUUACUUGCAGGAAAAUUUGGAGGGGUGUUUUUUUGAAAAAAAAAUACUGUGUGUAUGUUUUUGUACUGUGUAUAUUUUCAUACUGUGUAUGAUUUUAUACUCUUAAUAUUUUAUUUGUUUAAUAUUUUUGUCAGAUUUCAAUUGAUUCUUUUUGGGAACUGCCUCAGGUUCAACUCUGGACAAAAUGCAGCAUAUUGAAUGAAUGAAUGUAUGAAAUUCUUUCCAAAUCGAGCAACAAAGUAGUCAAAACUACUUUGCAGCAGAGGGUGCCCCAUCACUUCUUUCAGUCACCAAUCAAGGCACUUUGUACCGAAACACACCCAAGUCACGUUGGCACUUCAGCUAGAAAGUUCCAUUGACACCUUUAUACAUCGCUGACAAUAAAAUACAACAGUAGAUUCAACUAUUGAUAAUUUUGUGCCCUUGU